GAUGAACGCUGGCGGCGUGCUUAACACAUGCAAGUCGAACGGAAAGGCUCCUGCUUGCUGGGGUACUCGAGUGGCGAACGGGUGAGUAACACGUGGGUGAUCUGCCCUGCACUUCGGGAUAAGCCUGGGAAACUGGGUCUAAUACCGGAUAGGACGAUGUUUUGGAUGCCAUUGUGGAAAGUUUUUCGGUGUGGGAUGAGCUCGCGGCCUAUCAGCUUGUUGGUGGGGUAAUGGCCUACCAAGGCGUCGACGGGUAGCCGGCCUGAGAGGGUGAACGGCCACAUUGGGACUGAGAUACGGCCCAGACUCCUACGGGAGGCAGCAGUGGGGAAUAUUGCACAAUGGGCGGAAGCCUGAUGCAGCGACGCCGCGUGGGGGAUGACGGCCUUCGGGUUGUAAACUCCUUUCGCUAGGGACGAAGCGCGAGUGACGGUAACGGGAGAAGAAGCACCGGCUAACUACGUG
rnacentral:rRNA from 1 species